GGUUCUACCAAUUCUUCUUCUUCUUGAACAAAGUGUUCAUGAUUAAAGAAUGGUUGGGCCAUUGUUGGUAUUUCUUAGUGAUGCAGCCAAUUAUCUGCAAGCGCACGGAAGUACCGUUGUAGCACUUCACCCGGUGGUAUUCAGGGUAUCGAGUUUUCACAGGGAACGGAGGUGUUUUGAGACUUAAACUAAGUGUACCCUAGAGUAAAGUGAGAGGGAUGACUUAGGUAGUGAGGUUCUCCUAAUGGUAGAAGUUUUAUGCAAGGCAACGUGCUUUUCUAAUCUUACUUUGGGCACCGGAGCAUACCUGGUCUACCAGGUAAUACCGGCGUGUAGCUCUACGCCGUAUCCGGACGUGGGGGAAACUAAGGACAAAUAGGGCUGUCACCACCUGCUGCCGACCCCUCAACCGUGGGAUACGAGGCAAACGAGGGUAACCUCUAACCUAGACACCACGUCUACGUUAUUAGCUACUUAGCGUUGCGCAGGUCCUCCCGCCUGCCAGCAAGCGUC
rnacentral:lncRNA from 1 species